rnacentral:rRNA from 1 species
CCUACGGGAGGCAGCAGUGGGGAAUAUUGGGCAAUGGAGGCAACUCUGACCCAGCAACGCCGCGUGAAGGAAGAAGGCUCUCGGGUUGUAAACUUCUUUUAUCAGGGACGAAGCAAGUGACGGUACCUGAUGAAUAAGCCACGGCUAACUACGUGCCAGCAGCCGCGGUAAUACGUAGGUGGCAAGCGUUAUCCGGAUUUACUGGGUGUAAAGGGCGUGUAGGCGGGAAAGCAAGUCAGAUGUGAAAACCAUGGGCUCAACCUGUGGCCUGCAUUUGAAACUGUUUUUCUUGAGUACUGGAGAGGCAGACGGAAUUCCUAGUGUAGCGGUGAAAUGCGUAGAUAUUAGGAGGAACACCAGUGGCGAAGGCGGUCUGCUGGACAGCAACUGACGCUGAGGCGCGAAAGCGUGGGGAGCAAACAGGAUUAGAUACCCUAGUAGUC